AUCAUCUGCUAUGAUUGCUAGACGAAGAAAUAGCUUGUGGAAGCUCAAGCAAACGACGGAGAUCAAUCCCCAGGAACGCCAAAAACUGAAAUUGAUGGCAUUGAAAUGGCGUUGGAUUGUGAAGGGGAUGGUGGAGUCACUCCAAGCAAACCAGAUAAGGCAACCCAAAAAUGGCUGAGCGGAAAUCAUCCCUGCAGUCACAAGAACGUUUCUUUUGUUCACAAAAGCAUUCUACGUGAGAUCCUGUGCUGUGAUUCAGCUAUCAAUGUUUUUUUACAAGUCUAUUUAUUUUAUGUUUUAAAAAUAUUUUAAAAAAAAUUAAUUUUUUUUUAAAUUAAUA